GGAGCGAACGCUGGCGGCAGGCCUAAUACAUGCAAGUCGAACGAACCCUUCGGGGUUAGUGGCGGACGGGUGAGUAACACGUGGGAACGUGCCUUUUGGUUCGGAACAACUCAGGGAAACUUGAGCUAAUACCGAAUGUGCCCUUCGGGGGAAAGAUUAUCGCCAUUAGAGCGGCCCGCGUCUGAUUAGCUAGUUGGUGGGGUAAAGGCCCACCAAGGCUACGAUCAGUAGCUGGUCUGAGAGGAUGAUCAGCCACACUGGGACUGAGACACGGCCCAGACUCCUACGGGAGGCAGCAGUAGGGAAUCUUGCGCAAUGGGCGAAAGCCUGACGCAGCCAUGCCGCGUGAAUGAUGAAGGUCUUAGGAUUGUAAAAUUCUUUCAGCGGGGACGAUAAUGACGGUACCCGCAGAAGAAGCCCCGGCUAACUUCGUGCCAGCAGCCGC
rnacentral:rRNA from 1 species